CAUCUCAGGAGGGCUCAGCAGUGAAGUCUGGCAUCCGAGACCCACGCCCCUCCGCACAAGUUAGAUGCCCUCCACCCGGUAUCUAAGGGGUGCUAUGCUGAUUCUGGCCAAGGGAAGUCAGAAACCCCAGCACUGGCCCUGGUGGACAGUGGUUUUACGUCUUCUGGACCCUUUGUCGACGAUCUCAACUGCGGGAGGGCAAAACGUGACAUUCAGCCCCCUUCCCAACAGCGCAGCUCCCCAGUUAUCGAGUGUGUGACGCCUCUGUGUGUGAGCGACACGUCGGAGGGGCCCUGUGCUGCAUGGCGGUGAU